UUAGAUUAAGUUAUUAAGGGCGCACGGUGGAUGCCUUGGCACUAGAAGCCGAUGAAGGACGUUACUAACGACGAUAUGCUUUGGGUAGCUGUAAGUAAGCGUUGAUCCAGAGAUUUCCGAAUGGGGGAACCCAGCACAAGUUAUGUUGUGUUAUCGACAAGUGAAUUCAUAGCUUGUCAGAAGGCAGACCCGGAGAACUGAAACAUCUUAGUACCCGGAGGAAGAGAAAGAAAAUUCGAUUCCCUGAGUAGCGGCGAGCGAAACGGGAAGAGCCCAAACCAAUAAGCUUGCUUAUUGGGGUUGUAGGACACUCUAUACGGAGUUACAAAGGAAUAUAUUAAACGAAUCAUCUGGAAAGUUGAAUCAAAGAAGGUAAUAAUCCUGUAGUUGAAAAUAUAUUCUCUCUUGAGUGGAUCCUGAGUACGACGGAGCACGUGAAAUUCCGUCGGAAUCUGGGAGGACCAUCUCCUAAGGCUAAAUACUCUCUAGUGACCGAUAGUGAACCAGUACCGUGAGGGAAAGGUGAAAAGUACCCCGGAAGGGGAGUGAAAGAGAACUUGAAACCGUGUGCUUACAAGUAGUCAGAGCCCGUUAAUGGGUGAUGGCGUGCCUUUUGUAGAAUGAACCGGCGAGUUACGAUCUGAUGCAAGGUUAAGCAGAAAAUGUGGAGCCGUAGCGAAAGCGAGUCUGAAUAGGGCGUAUAGUAUUUGGUCGUAGACCCGAAACCAGGUGAUCUACCCAUGGUCAGGUUGAAGUUCAGGUAACACUGAAUGGAGGACCGAACCGACUUACGUUGAAAAGUGAGCGGAUGAACUGUGGGUAGCGGAGAAAUUCCAAUCGAACUUGGAGAUAGCUGGUUCUCUCCGAAAUAGCUUUAGGGCUAGCCUCAAGUGAUGAUUAUUGGAGGUAGAGCACUGUUUGGACGAGGGGCCCCUCUCGGGUUACCGAAUUCAGACAAACUCCGAAUGCCAAUUAAUUUAACUUGGGAGUCAGAACAUGGGUGAUAAGGUCCGUGUUCGAAAGGGAAACAGCCCAGACCACCAGCUAAGGUCCCAAAAUAUAUGUUAAGUGGAAAAGGAUGUGGCGUUGCCCAGACAACUAGGAUGUUGGCUUAGAAGCAGCCAUCAUUUAAAGAGUGCGUAAUAGCUCACUAGUCGAGUGACACUGCGCCGAAAAUGUACCGGGGCUAAACAUAUUACCGAAGCUGUGGAUUGUCCUUUGGACAAUGGUAGGAGAGCGUUCUAAGGGCGUUGAAGCAUGAUCGCAAGGACAUGUGGAGCGCUUAGAAGUGAGAAUGCCGGUGUGAGUAGCGAAAGACGGGUGAGAAUCCCGUCCACCGAUUGACUAAGGUUUCCAGAGGAAGGCUCGUCCGCUCUGGGUUAGUCGGGUCCUAAGCUGAGGCCGACAGGCGUAGGCGAUGGAUAACAGGUUGAUAUUCCUGUACCACCUAUAAUCGUUUUAAUCGAUGGGGGGACGCAGUAGGAUAGGCGAAGCGUACGAUUGGAUUGUACGUCUAAGCAGUGAGAUUGAGUGUUAGGCAAAUCCGGCACUCUUAAGAUUGAGCUGUGAUGGGGAGAGGAAAUUGUUUCCUCGAGUCGUUGAUUUCACACUGCCGAGAAAAGCCUCUAGAUAGAGAUUAGGUGCCCGUACCGCAAACCGACACAGGUAGUCAAGAUGAGAAUUCUAAGGUGAGCGAGCGAACUCUCGUUAAGGAACUCGGCAAAAUGACCCCGUAACUUCGGGAGAAGGGGUGCUCUUUAGGGUGCAAGCCCAGAAGAGCCGCAGUGAAUAGGCCCAAGCGACUGUUUAUCAAAAACACAGGUCUCUGCUAAACCGUAAGGUGAUGUAUAGGGGCUGACGCCUGCCCGGUGCUGGAAGGUUAAGAGGAGUGGUUAGCUUCUGCGAAGCUACGAAUCGAAGCCCCAGUAAACGGCGGCCGUAACUAUAACGGUCCUAAGGUAGCGAAAUUCCUUGUCGGGUAAGUUCCGACCCGCACGAAAGGCGUAACGAUUUGGGCACUGUCUCAACGAGAGACUCGGUGAAAUCAUAGUACCUGUGAAGAUGCAGGUUACCCGCGACAGGACGGAAAGACCCCGUGGAGCUUUACUGUAGCCUGAUAUUGAAAUUCGGCACAGCUUGUACAGGAUAGGUAGGAGCCUUUGAAACGUGAGCGCUAGCUUACGUGGAGGCGUUGGUGGGAUACUACCCUAGCUGUGUUGGCUUUCUAACCCGCACCACUUAUCGUGGUGGGAGACAGUGUCAGGCGGGCAGUUUGACUGGGGCGGUCGCCUCCUAAAAGGUAACGGAGGCGCUCAAAGG
rnacentral:rRNA from 1 species